AAAUUGAAGAGUUUGAUCAUGGCUCAGAUUGAACGCUGGCGGCAGGCCUAACACAUGCAAGUCGAGCGGUAGCACAGAGAGCUUGCUCUCGGGUGACGAGCGGCGGACGGGUGAGUAAUGUCUGGGAAACUGCCUGAUGGAGGGGGAUAACUACUGGAAACGGUAGCUAAUACCGCAUAAUGUCGCAAGACCAAAGUGGGGGACCUUCGGGCCUCAUGCCAUCAGAUGUGCCCAGAUGGGAUUAGCUAGUAGGUGGGGUAACGGCUCACCUAGGCGACGAUCCCUAGCUGGUCUGAGAGGAUGACCAGCCACACUGGAACUGAGACACGGUCCAGACUCCUACGGGAGGCAGCAGUGGGGAAUAUUGCACAAUGGGCGCAAGCCUGAUGCAGCCAUGCCGCGUGUGUGAAGAAGGCCUUCGGGUUGUAAAGCACUUUCAGCG
rnacentral:rRNA from 1 species